UACGGGGGGCGAGCGUUGUCCGAAGUUACUGGGCGUAAAGGGCGCGUAGGCGGGUCGUUAAGUUGGGGGUGAAAGCCCAGGGCUCAACCCCUGGAAUUGCCCUUCAAUACUGGCGACCUUGAGUAUGGCAGAGGUGUGUGGAACUCCGAGUGUAGAGGUGAAAUUCGUAGAUAUUCGGAAGAACACCAGGUGGCGAAGGCGACACACUGGGCCAGUUACUGACGCUGAGGCGCGAAAGCGUGGGAGCAACAGG
rnacentral:rRNA from 1 species